ACCGCCCGUCACACCAUGGGAGUUGGCUUUACCCGAAGAUGGUGCGCUAACCCCGCAAGGGGAGGCAGCCAGCCACGGUAGGGUCAGCGACUGGGGUG
rnacentral:rRNA from 1 species